AAACUUUCAACAACGGAUCUCUUGGCUCUGGCAUCGAUGAAGAACGCAGCGAAAUGCGAUAAGUAAUGUGAAUUGCAGAAUUCAGUGAAUCAUCGAAUCUUUGAACGCACAUUGCGCCCGCCAGCACUCUGGCGGGCAUGCCUGUCCGAGCGUCAUU
rnacentral:rRNA from 12 species